rnacentral:rRNA from 1 species
CCUACGGGAGGCUGCAGUGGGGAAUAUUGCACAAUGGGGGAAACCCUGAUGCAGCAACGCCGCGUGAGUGAAGAAGUAUUUCGGUAUGUAAAGCUCUAUCAGCAGGGAAGAGAAUGACGGUACCUGACUAAGAAGCCCCGGCUAACUACGUGCCAGCAGCCGCGGUAACACGUAGGGGGCGAGCGUUAUCCGGAUUUACUGGGUGUAAAGGGAGCGUAGACGGGUCUGCAAGUCUGAAGUGAAAGCCCGUGGCUUAACCGCGGAACGGCUUUGGAAACUGGGGAACUGGAGUGCUGGAGAGGCAAGCGGAAUUCCUAGUGUAGCGGUGAAAUGCGUAGAUAUAUGGAAGAACACCAGUGGCGAAGGCGGCUCUCUGGUCUGUAACUGACGCUGAGGUUCGAAAGCGUGGGUAGCAAACAGGAUUAGAUACCCCUGUAGUC